UGAGGAAUAUUGCACAAUGGGCGCAAGCCUGAUGCAGCGACGCCGCGUGGGUGAAGAAGGUUUUCGGAUCGUAAAACCCUUUUCUGUGUGACGAGCAAGGACGGUAGCACAGGAAUAAGUCUCGGCUAACUACGUGCCAGCAGCCGCGGUAAAACGUAGGAGACAAACGUUAUCCGGAGUUACUGGGCGUAAAGGGCGUGUAGGUGGUUACGUAAGUCUGGCGUGAAAUUUUUCGGCUUAACCGGGAAAGGUCGUCGGAUACUGCGGGACUAGAGGACGGUAGAGGCGUGUGGAAUUCCGGGUGUAGUGGUGAAAUGCGUAGAGAUCCGGAGGAACACCAGUGGCGAAGGCGACACGCUGGGCCGUACCUGACACUGAUGCGCGACAGCAUGGGGAGCAAACAG
rnacentral:rRNA from 1 species